rnacentral:rRNA from 1 species
AGAGUUUGAUCCUGGCUCAGGAUGAACGCCGGCGGUGUGCCUAAUACAUGCAAGUCGUACGCACUGGCCCAACUGAUUGAUGGUGCUUGCACCUGAUUGACGAUGGAUCACCAGUGAGUGGCGGACGGGUGAGUAACACGUAGGUAACCUGCCCCGGAGCGGGGGAUAACAUUUGGAAACAGAUGCUAAUACCGCAUAACAACAAAAGCCACAUGGCUUUUGUUUGAAAGAUGGCUUUGGCUAUCACUCUGGGAUGGACCUGCGGUGCAUUAGCUAGUCGGUAAGGUAACAGCUUACCAAGGCGAUGAUGCAUAGCCGAGUUGAGAGACUGAUCGGCCACAAUGGAACUGAGACACGGUCCAUACUCCUACGGGAGGCAGCAGUAGGGAAUCUUCCACAAUGGGCGCAAGCCUGAUGGAGCAACACCGCGUGAGUGAAGAAGGGUUUCGGCUCGUAAAGCUCUGUUGUUGGAGAAGAACGUGCGUGAGAGUAACUGUUCACGCAGUGACGGUAUCCAACCAGAAAGUCACGGCUAACUACGUGCCAGCAGCCGCGGUAAUACGUAGGUGGCAAGCGUUAUCCGGAUUUUAUUGGGCGNUAAAGCGAGCGCAGGCGGGUUGCUUAGGUCUGAUGUGAAAGCCUUCGGCUUA